rnacentral:sRNA from 1 species
GUCAACUACCCCGGCCUGAAGGCCGAGGCUUGAAAGAGCCUCUAGUUGACUAGCCUCAGUCCGUCGAAAGGCGGGCUACGUUGGUUGGGAAUGUACAGGCACCGCGGAAUGUAGAUCCUAGUUCCGCGCUCUGC